GUUGUCUCUCACUGGGUCAGGAGGAUAACUGGCCUAUUAAUGCUGUGUGGGAGAGAGAUGGGACGCGAAAUCCGAGAGAAAAGAUGGAGGUCUUGCCUGAAGUGGAGACUGACAAAGAUGUUGCCAUUGAUGAAGCUGAAGAGGAUGGACCGGAUGAGUGCAAUGAAGAGGACCCUCUGCAAUAACCUUGACAAUGUGUUCCCUAAGGUGGUGGAGCGGUUCAAUCGAGACGGGUCCAAGACAGCUGGGGAGGAUGUAGCAGAAUGGAUCUUCCUAGUGUCUGAUGACAGGAUCCAAGUGACAUACCACCCGGGAGGAUGACUAUGGUGUUUGUCCAAUGGUCUUUAUGUAUGUGCUUUCAGGUAGAUCCAUUUGAGAGGCCCAGUAAGAAUAUCUUUCUGUAUGAAAUGCUAGUCCAUAUGAUGGAGGAGGAGAAUGUGGCACAGUCAAUGAGUCUGAGAAAGAGGAGUGUUGUGUAUGUACUUUGGCAUGAAUUAAUGUGUUCAAAUUAGAGAAAUAACAAAGUAAUAAACAGUAUUUUUGCUCAGGUGAGGGCAAUACUGGGUGUGAGAGAACAAGAAGAGGGCAGUACUGAGCUUCACAUCUCCAUCUACAACACAGUGAGGAAUGAGAGAGCAUGCUGUCACUGAGAGGCACUAUAGAGGAUGGCCAAAGAGGAGCAUCUUCGACAGGAGGUGAAGAAGCUGGACGUCUUAGCACCGUUUCUGGCCCAGCUGGGUGACCCAGAGAACCUGACCAGACCGGCUGCUAUACAGCUGACAUGAAGAAGCAGCUCGUCGAUAAAGCCAACCUCAUACAGGCUAGUUUUGAGAGGG